AACUGAUAAUUUGCUUUAGUGCUCCUGAAUGUACACACUUUGGUCCUGCAGUCCUAAAUCAACAUCGACUUCAAUAGAGGGACUUAUUAAACCUGGUGAUAAAUGAGCACCACAGAUACCUUUUUGACUAUUGUGACAAAGUCAGACCUGCCAGUUCUGGAAGUGUGAUUGAAGGCAGGUGUAUCAGACUUAGGAAACAGUGCUUUGACCAUCCCAAGAACUGAAAGAGCGAAGGGGGCCUGGAUUCCCACCGAAGCUGGACCCAGCAUGGAUUAGAGAGGAUGGCUGGUGACCAGUAGCCUGUAUAAGAAGAGGCAGUACCCCAGUGGGCGUUAGAAAAGGCAUUCUGUUUAAAGAAACCUCUUGGGCCAACCCUAUAAUUAGUUUAAAUAAACCAGCAUUCAGAAUUAAACUGCUGGAGUAGGACUGAUUCACUCCAGGCCCCCACCACCACGCCAAAGGGAGAAAAGCUGAGUAUUGCUGUGACAAAAAGAGGUACUCACUGCCGCCUGAAGCUUCCAGCCUCUCAGACCCCAGAAUCUCUCUCCCACAGCACUCAAGUAGAACAUAACUGACACCUACAUCCUACAAAGGCUUGGUCUGGUGUGUCCUGGAGAGGAAAGUGAAAUACUUUGUGAAUGUUUCAUGAAGGAGGAUCCCAGCCAGCUGGACUGAAGUGCUGCAGGGA